UACGAAGGGGGCUAGCGUUGCUCGGAAUCACUGGGCGUAAAGCGCACGUAGGCGGACUCUUAAGUCGGUGGUGAAAUCCUGGAGCUCAACUCCAGAACUGCCUUCGAUACUGAGAGUCUCGAGUCCGGGAGAGGUGAGUGGAACUGCGAGUGUAGAGGUGAAAUUCGUCGAUAUUCGCAAGAACACCAGUGGCGAAGGCGGCUCACUGGCCCGGUACUGACGCUGAGGUGCGAAAGCGUGGGGAGCAAACAGG
rnacentral:rRNA from 1 species